rnacentral:rRNA from 1 species
CCUACGGGAGGCAGCAGUGGGGAAUAUUGCGCAAUGGGCGAAAGCCUGACGCAGCGACGCCGCGUGAGGGAUGAAGGUCUUCGGAUCGUAAACCUCUGUCAGCAGGGAAGAACGGUCAUUGUGCUAAUCAGCCGUGAAUUGACGGUACCUGCAAAGGAAGCACCGGCUAACUCCGUGCCAGCAGCCGCGGUAAUACGGAGGGUGCGAGCGUUAAUCGGAAUUACUGGGCGUAAAGCGCUCGUAGGCGGUAUGUCAAGUCAAGGGUGAAAUCCCCGGGCUCAACCUGGGAACUGCCUUUGAAACUGGCAAACUGGAGUGUUGGAGAGGAUAGUGGAAUUCCAGGUGUAGGAGUGAAAUCCGUAGAGAUCUGGAGGAACAUCAGUGGCGAAGGCGACUAUCUGGCAAAUAACUGACGCUGAGGAGCGAAAGCGUGGGUAGCAAACAGGAUUAGAUACCCCGGUAGUC